rnacentral:lncRNA from 1 species
GAGAAAGGAGGCUAAGGCGAGGAAGUUGCUGGAACUGCUGGAUUCGCAACUUGACCUGUCCGCCAACACGGAACAGUUCAUUGAGGCGGAACCCAGUGCUGCCGCUGCUAACGAGACUCUGUUUGCCCAAACAGACCGUGAUUCAGAGGCAGAAACUGAUUGUGAGGAGGAAGUUAAGUCAAAUUCCGACGAGAGCACCAGAGACGACAUGGCUGACGAUCCUAGACUGUGUGACCUCUCCAGUCACGAGGCUGAUGACCCACCCACCCCAAUUCGUAUGCCGGCAGCUGCUACC